rnacentral:lncRNA from 1 species
ACUUGUCUUAGAAGCCCACCUUUUACUUGAGGUAGCUUUUUCUUCAGUAUGCUUAACUGUGCAGAAACUUCUCCCAGUGCCAGACUCCCCUGCAAGUUAGAAACAAAUUAAGUUUUAUUGUUUGUUCCAUAAGUAGAAAAAUAAUAUCGAGAUGAUUGCCUUGCAAUUCAGUGUUGCUUGGUACAGAGGCAAUGGUUGAGCAAUUUGAGUGCUUCAAAAUUGUGAUAAUUUGUUAUUACACAUUCUUAUAAAACUAUAAGCCCUGAGGCUGUUGGUUGCAGUCCAUAACUUGGUGGAAAAACACUUACUUGUCAUCAAACAUGGAUAAGUCAAGCUGGUGCCCAACUAGAGGCCUCAUCCCUACUAACUACCAUUUGUAGUUCAAAAGGCACUCUGCACGUAGUGGAGGAGGAAGGCUCGGGGAUCUAUGCGGAAGAGAAGGCAAAAGGAUCCCAAGAACCAGAGGUGCUGGAUGACUACAAGGUGACAGCUUCCCCAAGACACAACUGGACUGAUGCACUAUGAGCUCAGAGACUGUGGUACUGCACGUCGGACCUUGCACAGGCUCAUAUCAGAUGGGAUACCAGCGCUGAGGAGGGGGAGUAGAUACAAGGUCCACCGCUAACCAACACGUUAUUUGCAAUUGAUAUCUGCUGGCAGAGGGAAAAUCGGUUUUCUACAAUGAACCAUGACUGGAUCUAUCAACCAUAAUCCAGGGAAGGCCCCCACCGUCCCCCCCCCACUACUAACUUCAUUUUAUCAUCUUUGUCUUAUUUGUUGUUUUAUUUGUUUUUUUGUUUGUGUUUGAAAAAGAGAGAAAACACGCAAUUGGGUGGGUAGAGAGGUGAGGAAAAUCUGGAAAGAGUUUGGGAAGAGGAAAAAUGUGAUGAAAAUGUUAUUUUAUGAAAAACAUUUUAAGUAAAAAGUUUAAAAAAAAAAAGCCGGGCAGUGGUGGCACAUACCUUUAGUCCCAGCACUAGGGAGGCAGAGGCAAGAUGAUCUCUUUGAGUUCAAGACCAGCCUGGUCUACAAGAGCUAGCUCCAGGACAGCCUCUAAAGCCACAGAGAAACCCCGCCUCGAAAAACCCAAAAAAACAAAACAACAACAACAAAAAACCCAAAAAAUCAAAACAAAUUGUCAAUGAACAUUUUAUUUUACUGAAAGUGUUAUUCUACUUUUAUUAGUCAUUACUAGCAACUUUACUUUUAAUAGAAAUCAUAACUUGUAUUUGUAUUUGUAGGUGAAUUUUAAGAUGGAAAUAUUUGUGAAGGGCUACUUGUUAGUGUAACAACAGUGGCCAGAUCCAUGGGUUUUAGGGGGACAUUGGCAGGAAGGUCUCCGUGAGCAAGGACCCUCUGGGACUGAAGGCUUCCUGAGGCCAGAGAUUUUUGAUUUAUGUACUCCCGGCUCUGUCUAACAAAGUGCCUGACGUAUUGUUAAAGAGAUCUCUGAGAGUGUUUGCUGCUUUUUCCCCCCUCUUUGUACACAAAUUUUCUCUUUCAGCCAAUGUUUUCACAAAAAGAGAAUGACUUUGCUGCUUUUUGAUGAACAGCUGGGUUCUGCUGCCUAAUGCGUUCUUGAAAGAUGAAGUAAUCUUGAGAACUCUGACAUGCUUGGGUGACUGUUUCCUACUCUCUUGCUCAUAGUUUUCAGUGACAUUAUUUAUGAAACUUUUCCUUUAUUUAAUAAUUAAAUUAGAUCAGAAAUGUAUCUAAUAUUAAAUGUUUAAGUAUCCAAAUAAAAGAAUUCUCAGUGUUCAGAGUUGAAAAGGGGAAAGGGUCAUUAUAUUCCAUUAUUGUUGUUAUGUGUGUUGGGAGGGUGCUCAUAGGGGGCCAGAUGACAGUCUUGUGGAGUAGGUUCUUUCUUUUCCUGGGCUCCCGGGACUGAACUCAGAUUAUCAGGUUGGGUGACAAAUGCCUUUACCAUCUCUCUGGCACUAGAUUUUUAUUGUUGCUAAAAAUUUCAGUUGAUUAAUGUCUUUCCUAGUCUACGACCCGUAGCCAUCAAUAAAUGUCAUCAGCACCAAAAUUAAAAGUGUAUUUCAUAAUCAAAUGAAACUUUUGAGAAAUAAUUUCUCAAGGGCUUUCCAUAACUGGAGGGUGUCUGUGUGGAGUGCUCACGGGACUCUGCCUGAAUCAUGGCAGGUGGCCGCCUGUCUAUGCAUGUGAAUGGCACCCGGUUUCAUUGGCCUUCCUGAGUAAUUACAGUGCCAUUGGCCCUGAGCCAGCAUCAGAGCUUCAAAAAUGAGUAGAGACAUCAUAUCCAAAACCUAUGUGUUAUGGAUACAAUAUUGGUAUGAACACAGACAAAAUACAAUGAUGUAAAUAAAACAAUGGGUGUCUAGAUAUUGAUAAUGCCCAGCCCUAUAUUCAUACUUCUCCCGGCCUGUGUGGGUUUGGAUGGGAGGACUGGGUGAUAUACCACAUCCCCCUUUUCUGCUUUGUAUUUUAAGACAGAGUGAAGUUGUCUAGGCUGGACAUGAAUCUGCUCUGUAGCCCAGGCAGGCUGUAAGUUUGUGGUCUUGAAGGGACCAGCUCCCCAUUUAGGCAGCCAUAACAGCCAAACACAUGUGCCUUUAUUGUCUGACCUUGUCUUAGUCACUAGGAGGUCAGACGUCUGCCUCAUGGCA